rnacentral:tRNA from 1 species
CCCAAGAUAGCUCAGCCUGGUAGAGCUUCCGGCUGUAGACCGGGUUGUCGAAGGUUCAAUUCCUUCUCUUGGGACCA